GACAUUUGGAUUAAUCAAGCAUAAUUAAAUGUAGUUAGAUUUUUGUCAGAUUGUAGUUCAAAAUAAUAUUCAUCUAUGAAGAGGGUAAUAUAUUCUGUAGAAAUUUUAUUAGGCACUUUAGUUAAGCAAACACUAAGAACAAAAUCAGCCUCAGGAAGGUUAAUUACCAAAAAAAAAAGUAUAGUAGAUUAUAUAAAUCAUUUUAAUUUUGAAUACCAUGGCUGAAGCUUUAAUUUACAUAGAGAAGUAUUUUGGA
rnacentral:lncRNA from 1 species